CUCUCACUGUAAAAUGUGAAAAAGCAGGUUAAAUAAAUGUAACACAGACGUGCUUAUACUUGAACUUUAUAUAUUGAUCUCUUCCUUCUCCUCACUUUGAGAGCUACCAAAGACUGUUUCACAGUCGAGGAAGUGUCCGCAGGGUAUGUUAUCCCCAGGUCUGAGAAGUUCCCUCUCAGAGCCUCAGGUAAGACAUUUUUGCCAUUGUCAUCUCGGUUUCUUGGAGCAGGAUGUGACCGUAUUUGGCAAACAGAGUGGAUACACAUUGCUGCAUUGAUUCUGUUUGACAGGGCAGCAUCGAGGGGGCUUCUUAAUGGCAGGUAGUCUAAAUAAGACCGCACUGAACAUCAUCGAAUGGAAACAAAAUGAACAUCAUGCUCUGUCGAGGAUUACUUCACAUUUUUGAUUAGAAUCAUAAAUUCACUGACUGCAUCUUUAGUGAGGUGAAAGAUUACAGGACAAGUUGGUCAAAUUCUUCCACCUGGUGCCAAAGAGUCACCUCUUCUUUGCAGCCACAGUCGUCUCCCCCUGCUGGUGGAUGAAGAGAUUACAGGUUAAAGGCACGUCCCUGAAGACUAAGCUUUUAAAGACAUCCCCUCUUUAUUUUUUAACAAGAGUGCUUCAGAUAGGGUACAUUUAUUAAAGACUCUCUUCUCAGGUUUUGUCUGGGGAGUUUUCAAACCAAUAUAAACAUGGUUUGACUGACAAUUUUUUAACCGCAGGCCUACCUAUUAGCAUUUUUCUGGAGCUUUAACAGCAAAUUAAGUGAUCUUCUUUUUUUGUCACAGAUUCAGCUUAGUAACCAUCACGUUACUGAAGUAUAAAAACAGUCUCUGUUCAAAGAUGGCCUCUGAUGUCAGAUCUUUCUCUGGCCAUCUGCUGACUCUCUUGUUGAUAACCUUUGACCCUCCCUAUCCAAGUCAGUCCUGCAGCAGCCUUUGGUCCGGUGUUCAUAGACUGAUGGAGUCUUUUUUUCUUCUGCUGCUUAUUCAGUGUCUUGUCCAGGAUUCUUGCUAUUUAAUCAGCAGCCACAUGGGAUGUCAUAUGCCACUCCAGCUCUCCACUGCAGGGGGGCCCCAGCAAAGAUCUUAAGGUGUUGAGUGGUUUGUGGUAAGUGCCGACUCCUUCUGCCUUGAGGACUUUGACUGCAUGUUCUGACAUUACAAUAGGCUCGUCAGACAAGGGAAAAAAAAAAAAAAACCUUUCAACUCAGCUGCCAACUCUUUUUGAAAGCCUGGACUGAAAUUUCACUCUUUAAAAUGUUCCAUGAUACUCCUAUGAUCAUCAAAG